rnacentral:rRNA from 1 species
GACGAACCGUGCGAACGUUAUUCGGAAUCACUGGGCUUAAAGCGCGUGUAGGCGGGCCGGCACGUCCGUGGCUGAAAGCCCCCGGCUCAACCGGGGAAGUGGCGCGGAUACGACCGGCCUGGAGGGGGGUAGGGGGACCUGGAACUUCCGGUGGAGCGGUGAAAUGCGUAGAGAUCGGAAAGAACACCAACGGCGAAAGCACUCUGCUGGGCCGACACUGACACUGAGAGACGAAAGCUAGGGGAGCGAAUGGG